rnacentral:ribozyme from 1 species
AAAUAAAAUAAAAAAACGAAACUGAAACGUGAAAUGUUACAUUUGUUGGACUUGUUCGAGUUUCGUUUGCGUUCGUGGGUUUGUUUUGCUUCUUUUGAUUAGUUUUGGAUUUCUGAUUUUUUUUUAAA